GUAGGGAAUAUUGCGCAAUGGACGAAAGUCUGACGCAGCGACACCGUGUGAAGGAUGAAGAUCUUCGGAUUGUAAACUUCUGUCAAUUGGGGACGAAGGUACUGGGGUUAAUAGCCUUCAGUAUUGACGGUACCCAAUAAGGAAGUCUCGGCUUACUCCGUGCCAGCAGCCGCGGUAAGACGGGGGAGGCAAGCGUUGUCCGGAAUUAUUGGGCGUAAAGAGCGCGUAGGUGGUAUAUCAAGUCAUUUGUGAAAACUUUAGGCUUAACUUAAAGACUGCAAGUGAUACUGAUAUACUUGAGCACAGCAGAGGAAAGUGGAAUUCCUGGUGUAGCGGUGAAAUGCGCAGAUAUCAGGAAGAACACCAGUGGCGAAGGCGGCUUUCUGGGCUGUUGCUGACACUGAGGCGCGAAAGCUAGGGGAGCAAACAGGAUUAGAUACCCCUGUAGUCC
rnacentral:rRNA from 1 species